GAGAAUCAGAGGCAUCAUCAUGUUCUCCAGAUGGAAUAAAGGGAAAAGAAGAAGCAGGAGGAGGAGCAGAAGAAGACACAGAUUUAAAAGGAAAAACUGGUUCAUGAAAGAGAACAUCCCUAGAGACCAAUACCUCUUAGAUGCAAGAUCAUAUAGCCUAUAACCCUUUUUGCCAAAAGGAUAACCCAGGAAAACACNNN
rnacentral:lncRNA from 1 species